UACGGGGGGGGCAAGCGUUGUUCGGAAUUACUGGGCGUAAAGGGCUCGUAGGCGGCCAACUAAGUCAGACGUGAAAUCCCUCGGCUUAACCGGGGAACUGCGUCUGAUACUGGAUGGCUUGAGUUCGGGAGAGGGAUGCGGAAUUCCAGGUGUAGCGGUGAAAUGCGUAGAUAUCUGGAGGAACACCGGUGGCGAAGGCGGCAUCCUGGACCGACACCGACACUGAGGAGCGAAAGCCAGGGGAGCAAACGGG
rnacentral:rRNA from 1 species